GCCCGAGUGGCCAAGUGGUAAGGCGUCGCACUCGUAAUGCGAAGACCCUGGGUUCGACUCCCAGCUCGGGCU